rnacentral:siRNA from 1 species
GAAUACGUAAGGAGCUCCAUCAUC